UACGUAGGGGGCAAGCGUUGUCCGGAAUCAUUGGGCGUAAAGAGCGUGUAGGCGGUUCGGUAAGUCGGCUGUGAAAGUCCAGGGCUCAACCCUGGGAUGCCGGUCGAUACUGCCGGACUAGAGUUCGGAAGAGGCGAGUGGAAUUCCCGGUGUAGCGGUGAAAUGCGCAGAUAUCAGGAGGAACACCGGUGGCGAAGGCGGAUCUCUGGGCCUUGCCUGACGCUGAGGCGCGAAAGCUAGGGGAGCGAACAGG
rnacentral:rRNA from 1 species